GACGAACGCUGGCGGCGUGCUUAACACAUGCAAGUCGAACGCUGAAGCUCAGCUUUUGUUGGGUGGAUGAGUGGCGAACGGGUGAGUAACACGUGAGUAACCUGCCCCCUUCUUUGGGAUAACGCCCGGAAACGGGUGCUAAUACUGGAUAUUCACUGGUCUUCGCAUGGGGGUUGGUGGAAAGGGUUUUUCUGGUGGGGGAUGGGCUCGCGGCCUAUCAGCUUGUUGGUGGGGUGAUGGCCUACCAAGGCUUUGACGGGUAGCCGGCCUGGGAGGGUGACCGGUCACAUUGGGACUGAGAUACGGCCCAGACUCCUACGGGAGGCAGCAGUGGGGAAGAUUGCACAAUGGGCGCAAGCCUGAUGCAGCGACGCCGCGUGAGGGAUGGAGGCCUUCGGGUUGUGAACCUCUUUCGCUCAUGGUCAAGCCGCAACAAUGGUUGUGGUGAGGGUAGUGGGUAAAGAAGCGCCGGCUAACUACGUG
rnacentral:rRNA from 1 species